CACACUCACUGACUUAGGGCUUUUCUCGUGAAUUUUGCUUCAUUGCACUCUAUUUUUAAAGAAAUUGGAAGAAUUAGAAAAAGAAGAAGAGCUGAGAACAGCUGCUGGAGAGUAUGACAGUGUAUCUGAGAGUGAAGACGAAGAGAUGCUGGAAAUCCGACAGCUGGCAAAGCAGAUUCGAGAGAAAAAGAAGUUGAAAAUUCUGGAGUCCAAAGAAAAGAAUACACAGGGACCCAGGAUGCCGCGAACUGCUAAGAAGGUUCAGAGGACAGUUUUGGAGAAGGAGAUGCGUAGUCUUGGUGUUGACAUGGACGAUAAAGAUGACGCCCACUACGCAGUCCAGGCAAGAAGAUCCCGGAGCAUCACUAGGAAAAGAAAGCGGGAAGACUCUGCUCCUCCGUCCUCUGUGGCCCGGAGUGGGAGUUGCUCUCGAACUCCACGUGAUGUUUCUGGUCUUAGGGAUGUCAAGAUGGUGAAGAAAGCCAAGACUAUGAUGAAGAAUGCUCAGAAGAAGAUGAAUCGGUUGGGGAAGAAAGGGGAGGCGGAUAGACACGUAUUUGAUAUGAAGCCCAAGCACUUGCUGUCUGGGAAG
rnacentral:sRNA from 1 species